CACUAUAAACUAUCUCUUCUAUACUACUAGAUAUCAAGAUGAAGGCAGCCUUGAUAGUAUGCAGCCACGGUCCUCACACUUGUCUGCUUCCUUCAUAAAGCCAACUCUCUGGGGAAGCUGAAGGUACCUGUGGUUUUACUUCCCUAUGUCCCCUCCAGCACUGGAGUCAAGGUUAUCUUCACUCUGAGCUCCCCUCAAGGUUGCUUCUUUUGGUUGAGCAUUAAACCGGACAUAGUGUCAGUGAAGCCGCUGUAUUUGGAAGAGGAGUCUGGAUGCUCUCGGGAGGCGGAGCUCACAGCUCAGUCCACUCAGCCAAUCAGAUUGAGCAGCAUUAUCAUCGCUGAGGAGAUCAUUGACAGCUCUGGAGGAUGAUGCAGUGAUUGCUGCCUACCUUCUACCUGCUACUGGUGGUGUCAGGUCAAGAGAGAUUUUGUCCUCUACAAGUUCAAAGCACAUGAGAUCGAUGCUGCAUUGAGAGAGUUAGAGCUCCUGUUACUAAAACUAUACAAGACAGAGGACUAAGUCUAAGAAGAGUGCAACACGUACCUCUAAAGGCAAGUUAAUGCUGAUUCAGCAAAUAUUAAUGUUAGGCGUACGGUUGUCGGACCUCCUCUGCACACAUACACACAAACACACUACCGUAACCUCGCUUGCGCAUGCGCACCAAGGCAUGAUUAAUAAAUAGUUGGCCCAAUUUCAGUUCAAUACCAUGGACUACAGUCCUGGUCUUUUUCUAAUUUUGUAGCAUUCAAAAUGUGGGGGUUGAUUGCGCCAUUUUAUAGAGCUUCUUCUUAGCUUUCAUAAAACCAUAAAACUAUUGAAAUUGCAUACAUACAAAAUGCACACACACACACACACCCACACACACACACACACACACACACACACACACACACACACACACACACACACACACAUACACACAAUGCAAGUGACCCCCAAAAACCUUGUCAUUCUCUGGGACCCCCAAACAGAGUUCAAAUACCAGCACCAAUUGAAUGUUCAACGUCACUAUCCUGAGCUGUACCAAUAUUUAGAAUACAAAGUGCACGUGACUGAAUGGUCUUGUGAGGUGGAGGGGAUUGCUCACCACUGGGACCAAGGGGAAGUCCCUAGUAGUAGCCAUGGAUACCAAAAACACGACUCACUUUGAUAAAACGGAGCCACGGGGCAGACACUGCGUUGUGACGUAUUUGUAGCCUCAAUUGAGCGUAUUGAGAUCACAACUCGUACGAGGGAGCUGCUGUUGGGGGAGGAGCCGAACGUUUCAGUGUGCAGGCUUUUUACGAGGAAGGUACGUACGUUUCAAAGGGGUUAAUGUGGAAACAGUUACAGUUAAGUAGUGGGUGUGUCGAUAGUCAUCCAUCACUAGGUUUGCUGGGAAAUUUGUAAUCCAUUCUCUAGAAUUUAUUUGUGUACCUAAUUUGCUCGUUAUUCUCUGACCCUUGUACUCAGAGAUGUGCCCACAGAAUAAGGCCUAUAGUUUACUAGGAUCAUUUAUGAGAUGGAGGUUUGAAAAAUUAAGAUAUUCCGGGCACACCACUGUCAGUGUGUACUGUAUACCGUAUAGCGGGUA